AACGUAGGUUCCGAGCGUUAUCCGGAUUUACUGGGCGUAAAGCGCGUUCAGGCGGUUUGGCAAGUCGGGCAUGAAAUCUCUCGGCUCAACCGGGAGAGGUUGUCCGAUACUUCCAGACUUGAGGGCAGUAGAGGGUGGUGGAAUUCCGGGUGUAGUGGUGAAAUGCGUAGAUAUCCGGAGGAACACCAAUGGCGAAGGCAGCUCGCUGGGACGUGACUGACGCUGAGACGCGAAAGCGUGGGGAGCAAACAGG
rnacentral:rRNA from 1 species